CAAAGCUGGACACGAACGGACGACGACUGCUGCGUUUUUCAGUUUCUCUGUGUUUACUCUCCAAUUGAUUCUGGGCGUUUUAAGCCACCAUUUGACGCACCGUUUCUUCCUACUUAAGCUCCAUUCUCCCCUCUCUAUUUCCCCCCAAACGGAACAUCCUGAGAGCCCCCAGGCUGCUCGAAUUUUAGCUCGCAAAUUCACUGUACCGGCGAGUUCCCGGGACAAAUUCGCGACCGAGCCAUAUUCAUCUGUGAGCACAUCCGCGGGGAAGUUUUUCGGCGAGUUUCCGGCGAGCGACUGCGCGUGAACCAGGGAGUAGAACACACCAUCGACCCUCCAUCAUUGUCUUCAGCUCGUCGAUUACCUCACGGACGUCGAGGACCAAACGCGAGUUCAACCACGAUCCAGGGAGCAACCUCUCCUCCAAUUGUGAUUGUGUUGAUUGCAACGAGUGUUUCUGCGAAGAGUGUAC